GAUUAAGCUACUAAGGGCACACGGGGGAUGCCUUGGCGUCUGCAGGCGAUGAAGGACGUGGCAAGCUGCGAAAAGUCUCGGGGAG
rnacentral:rRNA from 1 species